CGAAUACGUUUAAGAUACGUUUAACAUUUGUGUCAAGUCGUUCGUUCGUGGACACAUUAUUCAGGCCCAAAGAGUUUCGAUGUAGAAUGUUAGAGUUUGUAGAAUUGUAAAAGACAGAUUGUACACAAAGGCAGAAAUUAAUCAUUUAAAGCAUUCUUCAGUUGAUUCAUUUGGGCCAAUUUUGUCAGUUCGUUUAACGUAACGUCACAGUCGAAACUCUACGGCUAGAUGAGGGUAAGCAAACUUCAAAGGCAUGUCAGAGAGUACAAAGAUCCUGAACAUCUUACAUUACAACGGACUCCGAUUAUUCUCAGCGAUAGCAAAGGGAAAUAUUUAAAGCCUUACAUUAAUGGCCAAUCCGUAAUACAAUCAAACAUAAAGUGGAUUUCUAAAGGUGGAUUUGAUUCUGGUGCAGCUUUAAAGUGGAUCGACCGAAACGUGCACAAACCGAAGGAGGAGGUCGGUGCUGCUUGCAUAUAUGUCUGGAUUGGGACUUGCGAUCUUACAGAAAAGAGAGGCAAAUUUAUCUAUCUAAAACGAAACCUGCCUCAAGAAAACAUAAACAAAAUUAAAGAUAAAUGCAUCUUAAACAAUGUAAGAGUAAUGUUUUUGCAGGUUCCUUAUUAUUCCAUACAAAUCUGGAACGAACUUAAAGGGGUGAAAACCAGAGAUUUCUUAGAAGAUGAUAAACAACUAUCAUUGGCUGUUGACAAGUUGAACAAUUCUAUUAAUACCUUGAAUACUGAUCUUGGAAUUUGCACGCCAAAAUUCAACGAAGACUUGAAACGCAGCAGGAAGUCUAAAGGCAGGAAAGCUCGAUAAUCCUUCAACUUGAGUCUCUUAAAAGAUGGAGUACAUCCGGGGCAUGACUUAGCAAAAUCCUGGCUAACUUCGUUAUUGAAAAACAUUAGCAGAUUUUGUGUGUAAUUUCUGUUUACACAUUUUUUACAAUUUGACGUUUGCGUGUUGGCUGUGAUUGCACUGCCACACAAUUGUGAUAAACAUUAGUGUUACUUGGAUAUAAAACAUAGUGUGUAGGUACCCUUACAGAAGCAAGCCUCUGUGGCGUACAUGCUGCGUAUUUACUGUGUAUAUGCCGCGAACACAGUAGUACACCAGAGGAGUACAUUUUACAUACACCGCAUGCCGCAUACAUGCCGCAUACUAUUUCGACGAGUACACAGCAUGUACGCAGGAGGUCACUAGUACACUUCAAGUACGCAGCACAGACUCUGAAAAUUUAAGGAGUACACUGCAUGUACGCAGGAGGGACUUGUACAAGAAAAUAGUACACUGUAUGUACACCGCAGAUACUUUGAAAUUUGUGCAGUACACUUCAUAUACGCGGGAAAGACUUGUACAAUUUCUUUUGGAAUUUAUACUUAGUUUUUUUUUUAUAAGUUAAAGUCUGAAGUAAACUUCAUAUAUGCG